AUUGAACGCUGGCGGCAGGCCUAACACAUGCAAGUCGAGCGGAUGAGUGGAGCUUGCUCCAUGAUUCAGCGGCGGACGGGUGAGUAAUGCCUAGGAAUCUGCCUGGUAGUGGGGGACAACGUUUCGAAAGGAACGCUAAUACCGCAUACGUCCUACGGGAGAAAGUGGGGGAUCUUCGGACCUCACGCUAUCAGAUGAGCCUAGGUCGGAUUAGCUAGUUGGUGAGGUAAAGGCUAACCAAGGCGACGAUCCGUAACUGGUCUGAGAGGAUGAUCAGGCACACUGGAACUGAGACACGGUCCAGACUCCUACGGGAGGCAGCAGUGGGGAAUAUUGGACAAUGGGCGAAAGCCUGAUCCAGCCAUGCCGCGUGUGUGAAGAAGGUCUUCGGAUUGUAAAGCACUUUAAGUUGGGAGGAAGGGCAGUAAGUUAAUACCUUGCUGUUUUGACGUUACCAACAGAAUAAGCACCGGCUAACUUCGUGCCAGCCGCCGCAGUAAUAC
rnacentral:rRNA from 1 species